AGUGGAACAAACAACUUUGAACUUAGAAACGAAUUGGAUUCAUGAAAAUAGAAGAACAGAAAACACAUGUAAAUCCUGCAAUUUCCUAUUGAUCUUUUCCUUUCUGUACUUUAGACUAGGAACAAUUAGGGCGGUGGGGAUGGAUCAAGACACUAAAGAACCCAGGAAGUGUUCUACGAUAACAAUGGUUGGUGCAAAUGUCUUUAUUUUUUCUGCGUUUAUUGUUGAACUUGUUUUGUGCAUUAGCAAGAUAAAACCAAAACUCUGCUUUCUUCUCUCCCCCGUCUAGCUCCCAACCACUAUCGAAAUUGAAUCCCUUUUCAACAAUUACAUACUUUGGGUAACAUCAUUCUAGAAUCACCCUUUUGAUAUGAGAUUACAAGAACCUCCAAUUCAUCAGAGAUCGACCCCCUCUUCAUAGCUCUUGUAUCUAUAACGAAUGCAUCUGGAAAAAACAAAGAAGGUCGAAACCUUAGUCUCAAUCCCCGAAAACCCAUAAAAAAAAUUGACAUAAACACUCUCUUAUCAGUUUCUAUCCGAUCUUUCCACAACAUGCAAGAUUGCAGCUCAUCCUUAUCCCCAGUCGUACGGACCUUGAUUGCGGCGAGAUCCAGGUACUGUCGCAGAGAACCAGCUCCACAAAGCCACAUUCAAUUUCUGCAAGAACAUGUGGAAUAAUCGACUUUGAUAUCGGGAGUUCGGAGAGCAUGGGUAUGCUGAAGAGCAUCAGGAAUUGGAACAAACAGCGGUAAGAAGUAGGGCCGGCGGUAGUGGGGAAGGGAAGGGGGAGAGGAGGUUUCUUUUCUAUUAAUUAUUUAUUUUAUUUAUAUUUUGUUGAAUCCACAUGUAACCCAUAUUGCAGCCAUAAAAUUGGUAUCCU
rnacentral:lncRNA from 1 species